rnacentral:rRNA from 1 species
GACGAACGCUGGCGGCGUGCUUAACACAUGCAAGUCGAACGGAAAGGCCCUGCUUUUGUGGGGUGCUCGAGUGGCGAACGGGUGAGUAACACGUGAGUAACCUGCCCUUGACUUUGGGAUAACUUCAGGCAACUGGGGCUAAUACCGGAUAGGAGCUCCUGCUGCAUGGUGGGGGUUGGAAAGUUUCGGCGGUUGGGGAUGGACUCGCGGCUUGUCAGGUUGUUGGUGGGGUAGUGGCUUACCAAGGCUUUGACGGGUAGCCGGCCUGAGAGGGUGACCGGACACGUUGGGACGGAGAUACGGCCCAGACUCCUACGGGAGGCAGCGGUGGAGAAGAUUGCACAAUGGGAGGAAGCCUGAUGCAGCAAAGCAGCGUGCGGUAUAAGGGCCUUCGGGUUGUAUACCGCUUUCGCCUGUGACGAGGCGUGAAUGACGGUAAUGGGUAAAGAAGCACCGGCUAACUACGUG